rnacentral:rRNA from 1 species
UAGAGUUUGAUCCUGGCUCAGAAUCAACGCUGGCGGCGUGCCUAACACAUGCAAGUCGAACGAGAAAGUGGAGCAAUCCAUGAGUAAAGUGGCGCACGGGUGAGUAACACGUGACUAACCUACCCUGGAGUGGGGGAUAACUGAGGGAAACCUUAGCUAAUACCGCAUAAUACCUACGGGUCAAAGGAGCAAUUCGCUCUAGGAGGGGGUCGCGGCAGAUUAGCUAGUUGGCGGGGUAAUGGCCCACCAAGGCAGUGAUCUGUAUCCGGCCUGAGAGGGCGCACGGACACACUGGAACUGAAACACGGUCCAGACUCCUACGGGAGGCAGCAGUGGGGAAUUUUGCGCAAUGGGGGAAACCCUGACGCAGCAACGCCCCGUGGAGGAUGAAGUCCCUUGGGACGUAAACUCCUUUCGAUCGGGACGAUUA